CUGCUUUCUUUUAAUUCUCCCUUCCCUCCUCCUCAGAGGAGCGCAAACAAUGUUCUUUUGAUGCUUUCCUGCGAGUGGGAAUCUCGCCCUGGAGAAGGAGACAAAACUUUGCUACCUGUGAAACGAAGACUGCUUAGGUAGCAGUGGAAAUGAAAGCAACUCUGUUUGGCCACACAGGCUCCACAAAUGAGUAACUUCAGUGGGAAUUGCUCAUGAAAAAGAGAUCGCCUGGAUUCUUCUGGAGCUGGGAGUCAG